AAAUUUAAAUAUGAGCAAUUAGUGAAACUCUGAGCUAAAAAUGAAGUACAGUGGUACUCUUGGUACUAACUAUAAUAAAGACUUUGGCAAUGGCAUUGAAGCUGCAACACUUGCAUCCAAAAAAUGUUUGUCUAUGGCAUAUUGGGCCCAUACAAAAUCACCAUUGAUCAUUGCUAAGAUAUGGGCUUUUAAGGAAAGCAGCUUUAUGGAAAGUGAAGAAAAGGUAUGACAUAGUACCCCAAACACAUUAAAGCAUGAGGAGCAGCCAGAAGAAGUUUGGAAAGAUGCCUAACAGAAAAACAAGGGUUGAGAACAUUUUGAAAUUGGAGCAUAGAGUGAACAAUUGUAGGCACAUAUGAACAAUGG